AGUGAACGCUGGCGGUAGGCCUAACACAUGCAAGUCGAACGGCAGCACCGGAGAGCUUGCUCUCUGGGUGGCGAGUGGCGGACGGGUGAGGAAUACAUCGGAAUCUACUCUGUCGGGGGGGAUAACGUAGGGAAACUUACGCUAAUACCGCAUACGACCUACGGGUGAAAGCAGGGGAUCUUCGGACCAUGCGCGAUUGAAUGAGCCGAUGUCGGAUUAGCUAGUUGGCGGGGUAACGGCCCACGAAGGCGACGAUCCGUAGCUGGUCUGAGAGGAGGAUGAGCCACACUGGAACUGAGAAACGGUCCAGACUCCUACGGGAGGCAGCAGUGGGGAAUAUUGGACAAUGGGCGCAAGCCUGAUCCAGCCAUACCGCGUGGGUGAAGAAGGCCUUCGGGUUGUAAAGCCCUUUUGUUGGGAAAGAAAUCCAGCUGGCUAAUACCGGGUUGGGAUGACGGUACCCAAAGAAUAAGCACCGGCUAACUUCGUGCCAGCAGCCGCGGUAA
rnacentral:rRNA from 1 species